AUUGAACGCUGGCGGUAUGCCUUACACAUGCAAGUCGAACGGCAGCACGGGGCAACCUGGUGGCGAGUGGCGAACGGGUGAGUAAAGUAUUGGAACGUACCAUUCAGUGGGGGAUAACGUAGCGAAAGUUACGCUAAUACCGCAUAUUCUCUCUGGAGGAAAGCAGGGGAUCGCAAGACCUUGCGCGGAUUGAGCGGCCGAUAACAGAUUGGCUAGUUGGUGGGGUAAAGGCUCACAAAGGCGAAGAUCUGUAGCGGGUCUGGGAGGAUGAUCCGCCACACUGGAACUGAGACACGGUCCAGACUCCUACGGGAGGCAGCAGUGGGGAAUUUUGGACAAUGGGGGCAACCCUGACCCAGCCAUGCCGCGUGAGUGAAGAAGGCCUUCGGGUUGUAAAGCUCUUUCGGCCGGGAAGAAAUCGCAUGGGUUAAUACCCUGUGUGGAUGACGGUACCGGAAUAAGAAGCACCGGCUAACUACGUGCCAGCAGCCGCCGCCGUAA
rnacentral:rRNA from 1 species